ACCCCGGGAGGGGAGUGAAAGAGAACCUGAAACCCUGUGUUUACAAGCUGUGGAACAUCUUUAUAUGAUGAACCGCGUACUUUUUGUAGAACGGUCCGGCGAGUUACGCUGGCUGGCGAGGUUAAGCCAUCAAGUGGCGGAGCCGAAGGGAAACCAAGCCUGAAUAGGACGAAUAAGUCAGUCAGAGUACACCCGAAACCGGGUGACCUAUCCAUGUCCAGGAUGAAGUUGCCGUAAAAGGCAAUGGAGGUCCGAACACACAUCCGUUGAAAAGGGUGGUGAUGAGGUGUGGAUAGCGGAGAAAUUCCAAUCGAACCCGGAGAUAGCUGGUUCUCCCCGAAAUAGCUUUAGGGCUAGCCUCAAGCGUAGAGAAACGGAGGUAGAGCACUGAAUGUCCUAGGGGGUAUUGCACUUACCGAAGACUAUCAAACUCCGAAUGCCGUUUUCUUUUACUUGGGAGUCAGACUGUGGGUGAUAAGAUUCAUAGUCAAAAGGGCAACAGCCCAGAUCGUCAGCUAAGGUCCCUAAAUGUACGUUAAGUGGUAAAGGAUGUGGGAUUGCACAGACAACCAGGAUGUUGGCUUAGAAGCAGCCACUCAUUUAAAGAGUGCGUAAUAGCUCACUGGUCGAGUGAUCCUGCGCCGAAAAUUUCCGGGGCUAAAACGUACUACCGAAGCUACGGCAUCAUUUAUGAUGGGUAGGGGAGCUUCGUAUGCAGGCUGAAGCAUGACCGUAAGGACAUGUGGACAGUAUACGAGUGAGAAUGUUGGCAUGAGUAGCGAGACGUGGGUGAGAAUCCCACGGGCCGUAAACCCAAGGUUUCCAGGGGAAGGUUCGUCCGCCCUGGGUUAGUCGGGACCUAAGCCGAGGCCGAAAGGCGUAGGUGAUGGACAACAGGUUGAUAUUCCUGUACCGCCAAUAAGCGUUUGAGAGAUGGAGUGACACAGUAGGAUAAGCUAACCGUACUGUUGGUUAUGUACGGCUAAGCAUUGAGGCAGUCUAAAUAGGCAAAUCCGUUUAGACAAUGCUAGGAUGUGAUGGGGAAGCCCUUCGGGGCGAAGUAGCUGAUUUCACACUGUCAAGAAAAGCUUCUAUCGAGUUUAAAGGCGCCCGUACCGUAAACCGACACAGGUGGGUGAGGAGAGUAUCCUAAGGCCAGCGAGAGAACUAUUGUUAAGGAACUCGGCAAAAUGACCCCGUAACUUAGGGAGAAGGGGUGCCUGUCUAUGACAGGCCGCAGAGAAUAGGCCCAAGCGACUGUUUACCAAAAACACAGGUUUCUGCUAAGUCGCAAGACGAUGUAUAGGAGCUGACGCCUGCCCGGUGCUGGAAGGUUAAGGGGAUCUGUUAGAGCAAUCGAAGCAGUGAACUUAAGCCCCAGUAAACGGCGGCCGUAACUAUAACGGUCCUAAGGUAGCGAAAUUCCUUGUCGGGUAAGUUCCGACCCGCACGAAAGGCGUAACGAUUUGGGCACUGUCUCAACAAUAGACUCGGUGAAAUUGUAAUCCCGGUGAAGAUGCCGGGUACCUGCGACAGGACGGAAAGACCCCAUGGAGCUUUACUGUAGCUUGACGUUGGGUCUUGGUACUACAUGUACAGGAUAGGUGGGAGACUAUGAAGCAUGGACGCCAGUCUGUGUGGAGUCAUCCUUGGGAUACCACCCUUGUAGUACUGGGAUCCUAACCAUAGGCCUUGAAUCAGGUCUUGGAACACCGUCAGGUGGGCAGUUUGACUGGGGCGGUCGCCUCCUAAAAAGUAACGGAGGCGCUCAAAGGUUUCCUCAGCACGGUCGGAAAUCGUGCGAAGAGUGUAAAGGCAAAAGGAAGCUUGAUUGCAAGACAUACAGGUCGAGCAAGGACGAAAGUCGGACUUAGUGAUCCGGUGGUACCGCAUGGAAGGGCCAUCGCUCAACGGAUAAAAGCUACCCUGGGGAUAACAGGCUUAUCUCCCCCAAGAGUCCACAUCGACGGGGAGGUUUGGCACCUCGAUGUCGGCUCA
rnacentral:rRNA from 1 species